UGGUGAAGCGGCCAACCGGGUCAGGUGGGGAACCAAGCAGCCCUAACUGCGUAGCCAGUGCCGGGGGUAAGGCUCGUCAAC
rnacentral:SRP_RNA from 1 species